UUUUCUGCGUCUUCUUCGAAUGAUCGUCUGUUCCCGAGACUCGAUGUUGAUAAAGGAGUGGAUGUUAUGUGUUUUAAACUAAUCUUGGAGAUUUCUGUAUUGAAGAUGAGUCUUUUUCCUCUUCGUCUUGGGAUUCUCAGUCACUGUGUGUGUUGCCGAGUUGAAGUUGGAGGCAGCUGCUGGAGAUAAUGUCACUAUAUCCUUCAAAACUGCUGAACUGGAGAGAGCCGAUCGAGUGAGGAUAACUUUUAAAGAUGAACUUCACAAAGAGUUGGUUGCUCAGUACUGUCUCUGUGCUGAUUGUGGAGACUGUAUUCCUGUGGAAACACCAGGAGUCUUACUGAGAAUUGAAGAAGGAACCGCGUCCUUGAUUCUUCUGGACGUCAGCUCCAGUAACUCAGGUCUCUAUGAAGCACAAGUGUUCAACGGAAACAAUGUGUCUGAGAUACAAGCUACACUUGUUGUCAAAGAACCAGUAUUGUCCUCCACCAAAGAGCCACCACAGACCUCCUCCCCAAAACCUCCUGACUCCUCUGGACACCUGUGGCUGUGUGCUUUACUGAUCCCUUUAGUCAUCAUCGGUGUGGUCUGUUUCCUC